UAGCGGCGGACGGGUGAGUAAUGCUUAGGAAUCUGCCUAUUAGUGGGGGACAACAUUCCGAAAGGAAUGCUAAUACCGCAUACGCCCUACGGGGGAAAGCAGGGGAUCUUCGGACCUUGCGCUAAUAGAUGAGCCUAAGUCAGAUUAGCUAGUUGGUGGGGUAAAGGCCUACCAAGGCGACGAUCUGUAGCGGGUCUGAGAGGAUGAUCCGCCACACUGGGACUGAGACACGGCCCAGACUCCUACGGGAGGCAGCAGUGGGGAAUAUUGGACAAUGGGCGCAAGCCUGAUCCAGCCAUGCCGCGUGUGUGAAGAAGGCCUUUUGGUUGUAAAGCACUUUAAGCGAGGAGGAGGCUACUUGGAUUAAUACUCUAGGAUAGUGGACGUUACUCGCAGAAUAAGCACCGGCUAACUCUGUGCCAGCAGCCGCGGUAAUACAGAGGGUGCGAGCGUUAGUCGGAUUACUGGGCGUAAAGCGUGCGUGGGCGGCUUCUUAAGUCGGAUGUGAAAUCCCUGAGCUUAACUUAGGAAUUGCAUUCGAUACUGGGAAGCUAGAGUAUGGGAGAGGAUGGUAGAAUUCCAGGUGUAGCGGUGAAAUGCGUAGAGAUCUGGAGGAAUACCGAUGGCGAAGGCAGCCAUCUGGCCUAAUACUGACGCUGAGGUACGAAAGCAUGGGGGAGCAAACAGGAUUAGAUACCCUGGUAGUCCAUGCCGUAAACGAUGUCUACUAGCCGUUGGGGCCUUUGAGGCUUUA
rnacentral:rRNA from 1 species